UUUUUUUUUUGUCUCUUUGCCUUUUCUAGGGCUGCUCCCACAGCAUAUGGAUGUUCCCAGGCAGGGGUCUAAUCGGAGCUACAGCUGCUGGCCUACACCAAAGCCACAGCAACACAGGAUCCAAGCCAUGUCCAUGACCCACACCACAGCUCACAGCAAUGCUGGAUCCUUAAUCCACUGAGCAAGGCCAGGGAUCGAACCUGCAACCCCAUGGUCCCUAGUCAGAUUCGUUAACCACUGAGCCAUGACGGGAACUCCCUGUUCUUCUUUUAAUUCAUUUUGGAGGUGGGUUAAGUUGUCAAUUUGAGAUUUUUCUUCUUUUUUGAGGAAGGCCUGUAUUGCUAUGAACUUCCCUCUGAGCACUGCUUUUGUGGUGUCCCAUAAAAAGACACUCAUAAACUUCUCAAAUAAGUCCUCAUCUUUGAAAACCUGCUAUUACUCUAGUUUAAAAUACUCUUGGUCUCACUUCAUUCAGUAUAGCUCCCUUUUGUGUGAAAGAGAGUAUAAGCCACGUUUAUCCUGAACACCAUCUAUAAAGUUAAGUAUUAAAAGUGCUGGAAAAAACUCAUGAUAGCAGCUUAAUCUUAAGUGUUUCAUGGCAUGAAUUAAAGCUGCAAUGUCACUUCUAGAACCAGAAGAAGUUAAAUUUUAGCUGAAUAUCAUGCAAGUAAAAAUUAGUAUCUGGUAUUAAAUAGGUAAUAUCAUAAGAAUAUUUUAAGAUUUUUUAAUAACCUGAAUGAGAUUAGGAUAAUAUAACCCAGCCCACAUGGAGAAAUGAAAACACACAAGUAAAAUGCAUUUACUUCCCAAUAUGAGAAUUAACUCUAAAUUAGGCCAUAGACCUCUCAGCCUUAUAUUUAUCAUCAAUAGUCAGCAGGGGGUUAAAAUGCCAGUUUUAUCUCUUUUGCAUAUCCUGGCCUUUAAGGAAAACGCAGCCCAUGUUAGAAAUUUCAGCAUAAAGGAUAAAUGAAAAAGUUUUCAUUCCUUUAAAGAACAUCAUGACACUCUUCACAAAGCAGAACAUAUAUGCCAUUACAGAAAGGACUCAUACUAGAAUAAAGUUAUAGGAAAUCAACUUUUUAAUUUUUUUGUGUUGAAAUAAUUUAAGACUUACAGAAAAGUUAACACCACUUCUGUUGUUGAAAUAAUUUGAGAAAUGGAAAAGUUGUAAAAAUAGAGCAAAGAAUUCUCACACACAUGCCAGAGUCCCCAAAUGUUAAUAUUUGAGCAUUUGAGCACUGAAUAUUCCUUCUAUGUUUUCCUACCAACUCUGCCUAUCUCUCUCUUAUACAUAUAUGUUUAUAUAUGUAUGUUUAUAUAUAUAUAUAUAUAUAUAUAUAUACACACACACAUACUAUUUAUGUUUUUUCUAAACCAUUAGAGACCAAGUUGACCCAAUGUGUGUCACACUUAAAGGAUGCAGUGUGUAUUUCCAAAAAAUAAGGACAUUUUCUUACAUAAUCACAGUUACAGUUAUCAAUGAGAAAAUGAACUACAAUCUAAUCUAGAGACUGUAUUCAAAUUUUUCCAAUAUACUACCUGGGUCCUUUAUAGAAAAUGAAACAGAGUUAAUUUUUUCUGGUCCAGGGUCUAAUUUAGGAUCAAAUGUUACAUUGAGUUUCUUGUUUCUUUAGGUGAAAUCUAGAUGGUUCCUAGGUUUCUUUAUGUCUUUCAAGACCUUGACAUUUUUAAAGAGCUCUUAUGUGUAAUAUACCUUUGUUUGGAUUUGUGUGAUAUUUCCUUUUGACUUACGUAAUCUAUGUCUUUGGAGAAGGAUAAUCAAGUGUGUAUGUAUGCUUUUCAGUGCAUUAUAUCAAGAGAUACAGGAAUAUAUUUGUCUUAUUACUUACUGGUGAUGUUCACUUCAAAUAUUAAUGGUUAAAAUAGUUAUCAUUUUUCUCCACUUUAAAAUUUUUCAUUUUCCCUUUUUAAUUAAAGUAUUUUGUGGGAGAUAUUAUGAGUCUAUGUAAGCAUCUGUGUCCUAUCACACUUUCACCUACUAGUUUUAGCACCCAUUAAUGAUUUUUACUAAAACAGUCAUUACUGGCAAUUGCCAAAUGGUGAUUUUUCUUAUUCCUUCAUUCCUCUAUCUUUUGCUGUGUGAAAAAGUAAAACUGUGAUUAAAGAAACAGGGCCAAAUAUCAGUAUAACACAAAAGCCAGCAUACAACAGCCUUCACUGGUCAAUGUGGGAUAAUUUAACAACAGUCAGUGAUUAGAGCCCACUGGAAAAAGAAUCUAUGAGUCCAGAUGAUAUAGAUAGGAAGAUAAUAGAUAGCUGAAUAGAGAAAUGAAAGGAAAAAACUUCCUUAGAGUAGAAGACAAUGAACAUUUCCAGACAAAAAUGAAUAUUAAAAAUCUUGACUAGGAGUUCCUGUUGUGGCACAAUGGGAUUUUCAUAAAUAUUUUUAUUUAGCUGGAAUUCUUGUCAUAGCACAACGGAAACAAAUCCAACUAGGAACCAUGUGAAGUUGCAGGUUUGAUCCCUGGCCUUGCUCAGUGGGUUAAUGAUCCAGUGUUUCCAUGAUCUGUGGUGUAGGUCACAGAUGUGGCUCAGAUCUGGCAUUGCUGUGGCUGGGGUGUAGGCCAGAGGCUAUAGCUCUGAUUAGACCCCUACCCCAGGAACCUUCAUAUGCCACAGGUGCAGCCCCAUAAAAGACAAAAAAAAAAUUUACUUAGUGAUACUGGUAAUACUAAAUGCUAAUAAGAGAGUGGAGGAAAUGAGGACUCAUAUAUAGUAUCGAUUUGAAUCUUCAUUCGUAAAAUCUCUCUGCACAGCAGUGUCACAGUAUCACAGCAGUAUCACAACAUUUAAAUGAAUAAAACUCUCUGAUCUAGCAGUCUAACUUCAAAUAACAUAAAACAAUUGAAUAAGUAUAAAUGUGUAUAAGCGUUUUUAUUUGAGCAUUGUUAAUGACAGAAAAAAAUUAGCAAAUCUGAAUAUCUGCCACUAAAACUAGAAUGUUCAGCAACUGAAAGGGUAAUGAUUUAUCUCUACUGGUUUGGAAAGAUUUGUCUAACAUACUGCUAAGCGAAUAAAUUUUACAAUAUCUAAGUUUACUUAUUCCACUGUAAGUAUGCAUAUACAUAUAUGCCUAAAUUCAUAUAUUCCUAAAUACACACAUACGCUAUACUGAUCUGAUGAUUUGCAAAAUAGUAAUAAAAGGAACUACUUCACAGAGCUGUUAAAAGGAUCAAUAAAUAUUUCAAUCUGACCAUAGUGUCUGACACAUGUGUACUCAGUAAAAAUUAACUAUGUUUUAACAAUAUAAUUAUUAUUAAAAAAAAUUUGUAUUGUGGUUAUAAUUUUUCAAACUAUAACAUAGUAUAGGUUAUAAUAUUGUAAUGUAUCUCCUUCUUCUGUUAAGCAAGAACUCCCUAUUAGCCAUCUUACACAAAACAUAAAAUUGACCUUUGUUUAAAACCUUUGAUUAACAGAUUGAGGAAUAGAUAUCAAAUUUUCAUCUUUGCUUUGAAAAAACAUCCUCAGUACUGAGCAUUUGUCCUUUCUAAGGAAUAAACAGGACGGAUAUCAAGUGAAACAGAACAGAGACACAGAAAAUAGGGAUAAGAAAGUUUGCUUAAUGAACCCCCUGAUCAUCUGGUCCAACAACUAUUAAUAUUUAAUAUUCACAUAUAUCUAAGUUUCCACAAAGGACUACUUAUGGAUGAUCUCAUUAAUAACACAUGCCCUUAAAAGCUGCAUCAAAAUAUACUAAUUAUAUGUACUAAUUAUACUAUUAUCUUUUUCUAUUUAUUUGACUUAUUUUAACAUUCUCAUGAUUGCCACAAAUUAACUGUGAUCAUAUAAGCCAAAUUCUUUAGACACAGCACAAAUCAAAGAAUGUGUUUGAUUCAUUCCAAAAUUUAAUUAGAAAAGUAUAUCUUCUGACAAUUCUAUUAGUGAGUGUUGAAUGUUUUUCUUAACAAAUGUCCCCAGACAAGAAAUAAUUAUCAUAAAAUGUGAGAAAGAUACACUAAGGUACACAGCACUGAGAUAAUUUAUCAGCUAAUAUGGUAUUUCACUGUUUGAUAUCAUGAAAAUUUUAAUCAUCAUGAAAAAUUAAUUUGCACCUUUGAUUUCUUUGUGCUUUCCUUUAACCCAGUUCAGCAGUUGAGUUACCUUUUAUCAUAAUAAUCAUAGCUCUGAUUUAUUCCUGUUUUUUAAACAGACAAAAUAAUCAUGAAGUUAUCUGCCAUUAAGUGAUCUGGAGAACACAGAGUAGUUCAAAGUCUUCUUAGUACUUAAAGACAAAUUAAUUGUGCUUACAACUGUGGUCAAAGUAAUUUGCAGACACUUGGCUUAGUACUCAGAAGAGGGACAUUCUAAGAAGUAGUAGCAGCUGUUCAAACUUUCUAAUUAUUCAUUCUAAUUGUGUAACCAUGCUUUCAGUUUAAUAACACAUAUGAAUUAUAACCUUAUUCUAUAGCCAAACCAUAAAAAUCAAGAACCAAUAAAUCUGUUAAUCACAGUUUUACUCAGGACGUGGGCCAGAUAUCUAUUAAAGUGAUUCCCUGGAUUGGCCUAUAGUUUCAGUGAUAUAUUUCAUUUUCAUGAAAUCUUCUGACAUGAACUAUUGAAUAACAUUUCUUUUGCACCCCCCCUCUACCUCCUUACUGAGAUGCUUAAUUUCUUAAAUUAAAAUCAUUUGACAACUAAGAUACCAAAAUGUGAUGACCUAGUAAAAGAAUAUUAAAAUUUGGGGAUAAUAUUUUAGAGUAAAAGACCAUAGAAAAGUUGUGGAUAGUAGCUUAUAGUAAAGAGAAUACUGUGGAUAAGAUGAGAAUUGAAAAUGUUUGAUGGUGGUGAGUCAGAUAGAUAUGGUAGAGUAGGAGUAUACAGAGCUCACCUCUCCCAAUGAACACAUCAAAAAUACAACUACAUGUGGGACAAUUUUCACUGAAAAUUAACUGGGUAUUAGCAGAAAGACUCUUGUACAAUCAAGGCUGUAAGAAAAUCCCACAUGUAAUAGGGAAGGUAGGGAAUAAAAGUGAUCAGGCCAGGACCUGUGUCCCUGGGAAGGGACACAGAAGAGGAAGGAGAUGACAUGGGCAGAGAUCCUACUGGGGGAGUGGGCAGUUUGAGCCAGAGGGUGGGUGCUCAGCCCUAAGGUAGAACACUUGGGAAGACAAGUGCCUUAGCUGGAUAGAAAACUAGUAAGACUAAGAGGAAGGCUGCAAGAAACCCAGACUUUGCUUAUGAAGAGCAUGCACACACUUGAUUACUCCUGAAACAAGGCAGAGAAAGCAGAUUGAAAUGGCACAGGACUUUGCCUGGUUUCCCUCAAACGCCCUGAUAUGCACCCCAGUCAAAGCCAAGUACCUGCUCCAGUCCCACUCGCUUUGCAACACAGCCCCACAAUAGGGCAAGAGCUGCAGCAGCCAAAAGGAGUGCUCAGUUAUAAGGGACAGAGUUAGCACAGGCCCAGGAUGCCAUCUGAAAUGUUGGGAGCAGCCUUUACUCAUGCUUACAGGGGCAGCACCUCAAAAGCUGUACAGAACUCUGACUGGUGCUGGGAAUGCCACAGCUGCACCCUGAUCCACACUUAAUGCCCAUGACAGCACCUCUUGCCCCAGCACUACUCCUCUCUAGACCAUGUGUGGCGGGCAGAGCAGAGAAGAGAGUUAACACACAAUUAGAGGGAACAGAACCAGCUCAGACCUUCUCAGGUUUUUGAUCCAGCAACUUAGGACCUUAUUUUGCCCCCUAAAAGGUAGUGUUAGACCUUGAGCAUAAGAGAAGCAAUGGCUCACAUCUGGCUCUGCUUCUAGCCCCCCAUAUCCAGCACCACCUCCUACCAAGGUAAAAGCUGCCAGAACACCCUUGGCUCUGAUGCACUCAUGCUCACAUCAGAUCCAGCUCUCCGACCAAAGCCACUGGGCACACACAGACUGUAUAGAAAGUUCCACAGAAAGACACUACUUCAUGACCAUAAGAGCUAACUGUUUUACCAAAUUACAUAGAGACAAAUAAAGUUAAGCCAAAUGAGAAAACAGAGGAAUCUGUUUCAACUGAAAGAACAAGAGAAAACCCCUGCAAAAAACAAACAAACAAACAACAAACAAGGAGUUCCCUGUUGGCUCAGUGGGUUAAGGAUAUGACAUUGUCAUUGCUGUGGCUCAUGUUGCUGCUGAGGUGAAGGUUCCUAUCUGUAGCCUGGGUACUUCCACAUGCUACAGGUG
rnacentral:lncRNA from 1 species